UACAGAGGUCUCAAGCGUUGUUCGGAUUCAUUGGGCGUAAAGGGUGCGUAGGUGGCGCCGUAAGUCGGGUGUGAAAUUUCGGAGCUUAACUCCGAAACUGCAUUCGAUACUGCGGUGCUUGAGGACUGGAGAGGAGACUGGAAUUCAUGGUGUAGCAGUGAAAUGCAUAGAGAUUGGGAAGAACAUCGGUGGCGAAGGCGCUCUGCUGGACCAUAACUGACACUCACAGGACGAAAGCUAGGGGAGCGAAUGGG
rnacentral:rRNA from 1 species